rnacentral:rRNA from 1 species
UACAGAGGUCUCAAGCGUUGUUCGGAUUCAUUGGGCGUAAAGGGUGUGUAGGUGGCGCCGUAAGUCGGGUGUGAAAUUUCGGAGCUUAACUCCGAAACUGCAUUCGAUACUGCGGUGCUUGAGGACUGGAGAGGAGACUGGAAUUCAUGGUGUAGCAGUGAAAUGCGUAGAGAUCAUGUGGAAGACCAGUGGCGAAGGCGGGUCUCUGGACAGUUCCUGACACUGAGACACGAAGGCCAGGGGAGCAAACGGG